UAUUCUGUUGAGUGAAGGUUUCUCUAUUUCUUAAAACCCUCUGAUUUCACUCCUCAGCCUCAAAUUCGGAACCUCUUCUCACCCUGCAUCUCAAUUGUGUUUGAUCGGUCAUCGGCUGUUCAGUUGCCGGUUGCUGAUCACCGUUUCUUUUUUCAUCUAGGAUUGAAAUGCUAUAUUCACGAGCCUGAGGAUUCAAAGCUCUAGUCCUGGCAUAGUGUUACAAGUUCAUGAUGGAUUUGAGGCUUAACCGUAAUAAAUGGGUUGGGAAUAUUUACCAGAAGUUUGAAGCAGUGUGCCACGAGGUGGAUGAUAUUGUAUGCCAGGAUGCUAAAACAUAUCUUGAGAAUCAGGUACAGAAUGUUGGAGAUAGUGUGAAAAAGUUUUAUUCUGGAGUUGUACAUGACCUGCUUCCCUUAAAUUCAUUGGUCAGUUCACAAUAUGAAGAUCAUCUUCUGGUAGCUGAGAAAAAUAACAUUGACUUUUCAGUAGAUUCUGUUUGUAAAGAUAAUAAUAAAAAAAGGGAUGAGGAAAAUCCCAUCAAUCAUUAUUAUGUGGCAUUGAUGAAUUCCAAUGCCAUUGAUAUUGCUGAUCAUAAGCAACACGGUGUUCCUGUCAAGAACAUCGAUGAAUGGGGUUCGUUUUCCCUAGAGUUGGAAGGUUCUUGCAUCACCAAGGAAGAAGUUGGUGUUGACUCAAGUGGAACUUCUGAGUCUAAGAAAGAAAACUUCCACAUCAGCUUUGAAGAGGCUUCCAUUGGUAUUGCUGAUUAUAAUCAAGAUGGUGUUCCUGUCAACAACAUUCUUACAAAUCAAGAGAGUGAUGAAUCGUGCUCAGUUUCCCUGGAGUUGGAAAAUUCUUGCAUCACUCAGGAAGAAGUUGGUCUUGACUCAAGAGGAACUUCUGAGUCUGAGAGAGAAAACUUCCACACCUGCUUUGAAGAGUUUGCCGCUGAGUCUGAUCCUAAACCAAUGAACUUGAUGUCUGUUGGAGAGAAAGAAUCCCUGGAAUUCCCUAUACACAGUGAAUCUUCUUGUGAUACUUUUGACAGUGGAUGGGAAGUUUCAAUCAAAACAAAGGUUAACAUAGACGAGAAUGCAGGGAAAAACUCAUGUCUGAUUGCUGAUGAAAAUGCUAUGAAUUCAUCCCCCUCCCAGGUGUGGAGUCCCCAUAGUCUUGACGAGGAAAUUCCCAUUAAUUAUUUUUCUUUGGCAUUGCGCGAUACUAAUGCCAUUUAUAUUACUGAUAUUCAGAAAGUUGGUGUUCAUACCAGGAACGUAAAUCAAGUUAGUGAUGAAUCUUGCAAAGUUUCCCUAGAGGUGGAAGAUUCUUACAUUCCUCAGGAAGAGGUUGGUGAUGAAUCCAGAGGAACAUCUGUAUCUUCAAAAGAAAACAUCCAUACAGGCAGUGAAGUGGUUGCUCUUGAGUCUGUUCCUAAACCAUUGAACAUGAUCUCUGUUGGAGAGAAAGACUCCCUGGAAUUCCCUAUACACCGAGAACCUUGUUUUGAUUCUUUUGACAGUGGAUCCAAAAUUUCAAUCAGAACAAAGGAUAACAGAGAUGUGAAUCCACGUCAAAAUUCAUGCUUGACUGUUGAAGAAAAUGCUAGGAAUUCAUCCACAUCCCAAGUGUUGAGUUCCCAGUCUCUAGAUGAGGAAGAAUCAACUAAUGUCUCCUUGUUUAGGGAAUCAUCUAAUGCCAACCAGAACACACAUGGUAUACUAGCUGAAGUUUCACCUGAUGUUUCAGUGCCAAGUGAAAGGCCUAUGACAAGGACAGAACCUUCAUGCUCCAGUAGUUCCUUAACUUCGGGCAGUCUGUAUUCGAAGUCGCAUGGAAGAUACUCCUUUGAAAAUGAAUCUUGCAAAAGAAAUCCUGGUGAUGCUUCUCCGUGUAUUUCAGAUAGUUUUGUUUUGCCUGUAUGUUGUGAAUCUUCUACCCAUCCAGCUGGUCAAGUCAUGGGACCUCAGAGUGGUCUUCUGUUCUCUGGUUUCUGUCAAUCUAUGGGAUCAAAAGAUAAAUCACUGGUGAUUUCUCUUGAAUCCUGCACUGAAGUCAUUCAAUUCAAUGAUGAUGAUCCGAAGCUGGAGAAAAGCUGUGUAAAUGUGGUUGAUAGUGAACUCCAUGCAGUUGCCUGUAGAACUCGAAAGCUUCGAUCAUAUAAGAAAAGAAUCCAGGAUGCAUUUGCUUCAAAGAAGAGGUUAUCCAAGGAGUAUGAACAGUUAGCAAUAUGGUAUGGAGACUGUGAUAUUGAGCCUAGACAAGAUUUUUCGGAAACUUUAUUACCAUUAAGCACCAGAACGGAUAUGGAAUCAAAGAAUGUGCAAGAGCAGCAUGAUUCAGAAAGUGAGUGGGAGCUACUGUAAAUACAAUAUUGACAUACCAGUUGCUUUGGCUCUUCAUUUUUUGCAUGUUCAAGGUGGAUGUGCUUACUGAAAAUUACAUUAUUUCGGUUUCCACGAAGAAAUGGUUUCCAUUCCCAGCUCCUGAAGAUGGAAAAUUAGUUGUCAUUUUUGGGAACUGUCCAAAUACAAAUGAAGGAAAAUGAAUUGAAUGAGUUAAAGCAUGUCUGCUUCUAUUA